rnacentral:rRNA from 1 species
GAUUAACGCUGGCGGCGUGCCUAACACAUGCAAGUCGAACGAUGAAACUUAACUGAUUUCUUCGGAAUGAUUUUAAGUGGAUUAGUGGCGGACGGGUGAGUAACGCGUGAGUAACCUGCCUUGGAGAAGGGGAUAGCCUUUGGAAACGAAGAAUAAUACCCUAUGAUAUGAUAAUAUCUCAUGAUAUUAUCAUCAAAGAUUUAUCGCUCUAAGAUGGACUUGCGUCUGAUUAGUUAGUUGGUGAGGUAACAGCUCACCAAGGCAGCGAUCAGUAGCCGGCUUGAGAGAGUGUACGGCCACAUUGGGACUAAGACACGGCCCAGACUCCUACGGGAGGCAGCAGUGGGGAAUUUUGCACAAUGGGGGAAACCCUGAUGCAGCGACGCCGCGUGAUUUAGAAGGCCUUCGGGUUGUAAAAAUCUUUUGUAUGGGAAGAAAAUGACAGUACCAUACGAAUAAGGACCGGCUAAUUACGUG